UCCGGUUUGUCACCGGCAGUCUCGCAUGAGUCCCCAACUUAAUGCUGGCAACAUGCGACGGGGGUUGCGCUCGUUGCGGGACUUAACCCAACAUCUCACGACACGAGCUGACGACAACCAUGCAGCACCUAUCGCAGGCCCUUGCGGACACCGUAUUUCUACGGCUUUUCCUGCGUAGUUCAACCCAGGUAAGGUUCUUCGCGUUGCAUCGAAUUAAGCCACAUGCUCCGCCGCUUGUGCGGGCCCCCGUCAAUUCCUUUGAGUUUUAGCCUUGCGGCCGUACUCCCCAGGCGGGUCACUUAAUGCGUUAGCUCCGGCACGGAGGGAGUCGACACCCCCCACACCUAGUGACCAUCGUUUACGGCGUGGACUAC
rnacentral:misc_RNA from 1 species